rnacentral:rRNA from 1 species
CAGUAGCCGCGGUAAUACGGAGGGAGCUAGCGUUGUUCGGAAUUACUGGGCGUAAAGCGCACGUAGGCGGUUAUUCAAGUCAGAGGUGAAAGCCCGGGGCUCAACCCCGGAACUGCCUUUGAAACUAGAUGACUAGAAUCUUGGAGAGGUCAGUGGAAUUCCGAGUGUAGAGGUGAAAUUCGUAGAUAUUCGGAAGAACACCAGUGGCGAAGGCGACUGACUGGACAAGUAUUGACGCUGAGGUGCGAAAGCGUGGGGAGCAAACAGGAUUAGAUACCCGUGUAGUCCCUGUCUCUUAUAA